AUCUUCCAGGGUACCGCCAUCCCCACCACUCACCUUUGCCUCUUACUGAAUACCCUUCCUCCUCCUAUCCUUUCUUCCAUCCAUCCUUGCAUCUUUCCUUCAUCCUUGCUUCCUUCCUUCCAUCCUUCUUCCCUCCCUCCUAUCCUUCCUCCUUUCCUCCUUCCUUCCAUUUCUCUCUCCCCGGUUUCCUUCCUUCCUAUACUCUUUCCCUAAAAGUCUCUCCCCUCAUGCUUCCUUCAAUGUACCCCUCUACAUGGCACAGCCUAUUUGGUUUUAGGAUCCUGUCUGCUGUCAUCUCUUCUGCAAGGCUUUUCCUGACGGCCCACUAUCCCCAUUACCUACCUCAUCAUCGACUCUUCUCUAGGCGCUCUCUGACAUGCACACCUGCAGGUAUUUAUAAAUAUUGGACAACCGAUGCCUAGUGGGAGACUAGCAUACAAUGGAUGCUCAGCGAGGGGCUGCCCAUGUAAAGGACAUCCAUGUGGUCCUGGGCAGCAUGGGAUCCAUAAGGAUGUGGGUCCCAUGUGAAAGUGCUAGGAUAAAAGGUCCACAGAGUAUUGUGGAGAACAGAGGGAAGGGCCCUCCACCUGGACCAGGCUCUCCAGAGCAGGGGAAUUGCUUGAUCUGAUAUUUGAAAGACAAGGAAUUCAUCGCUUGCUAGUAAAUUGAGAAAAAGUGAAUUUUUUGGAAAGAAACCAUAAUUUGAGAAGGCACGUAACCAUAAAGGGAAUUUCAGCCAGGUCUGUAUUGUUACAGAGAAGGAUGCAUUUCCCGAUGCUGCCAAAAAACAAGGCAAGAACCGUUUGAUCUCUUUGUUGAAAACCAUGGUUUCCUUUGACUCCAUUUUCAAAAGUAGAAUUAACUGAAGAUCACAAGUAAAUAAAGACAAUUGUAUUUUAGGAGAAAGACUUAAUUUUUAACUUAAGAGACCUACAUUUUUCAUAUUAGUGAUGUGUUUUUAUGUACAUAGGGAGCUUGCUCUCUCGAGCUUUCUUCGGAAGCAAGUUUGGAAGGGAUUUUAGAAGCAACAACCCAAUACAGGCCAUUUUUUAACAUAAAGCUUAUUGUGCUGCUUUGUUUUCAUGGGCAGAAAUAGAAAAAUUAAAGAGAAAAGUUCCACAAAUAUAGUCAAGGAAAAUUGGAUAAGGGUAUACAAGGACAACUCACUUAGUUGGGGUAAAAUACAAUUUAUUUUACCCCCAGUUAUUCCAAACUAUUUUCUGGAAGUUACAACAAAAUCAAAUUUGAUUCCCCAAAUCUUCUCUUGGGGAUUGUUUGGCAAAUCUGAAAUGUGAAUAAAAAUUUCCUCCCAAACAUCCAAAUGGAGUUUUCUGCCACGAUUAUUCAGAAAAUAUUACCUGAAUUUAUCUUGCAGGCAGGCUAGAUGUUAUUUGAGUUCAUUUUCCCUGAAAUCACUUUCAAGGAUGAAGCUGGAAAGAGAAGAGACUAUUUUUUUAAAAAUCAACAGUGUGUCCUCACUAUAGCUGGAUGUUGAUUUCACUUGCUUGAAGUGUAUUUAAUAGACAUUAAUAUUGGUGUUUACUGCUUAAAAUUUCAAGUUCCACUUAGAAAGUUCCCCAUACAGCUGCCAAAUAUGGCAAACCCCAAUGAAAGUGAUUACUCUUGAAAGUGUGGAAUAAUUGGUAGUUUCCUUGAAGUUCUAAAAAUAAGACCCCCUGCCUUCUUCAGCCCAAAACCUUUCCUUUUGAAAACAAAUCCACUUCAGGAUAGAACAUAGAAACUUUAUCAUGGACAUUCAGAUAUUCACAAAGGAAGGCACAUACUCUAGCACUAUUCAUGGGAUUGACUUGAUAAUGACGUGAGUAAUUCUCAGAGAUUGCUGGGCAGGGUUUUAGAUACUUAGCAGUGCAUAACUCUGAUUUUGUUUUUUUCUCCCAGCUGGAGUUUUACUGUGAAUUGGUGUGGCUGGAGCAUCUGUGUCCAUUCCAUGAACUUUUUAAGAGCUUUUUUGUUCAGAAGAAUUUUGACAGGACUUCAAAGAUAUUAUUGGUUUGGUUGUAGCCCCAAAGGCUUGAGAAACAGCUGUUUUCCUUCCACACCAUCUUGAACCACAAGUCAUGCAUAAAGGUAUGAUGUAGCAUGAAGUUCUUGAGGGAUAUCCAAAGAUGCAUGAAACUAGGAGGAUGAAAAAGGCAGAAUUUGAUCUUUUGCAAAACUUACAAAUAUGUGGCAUCAUCAGGUAAGACUUUUUCUUUCCUAUUUUUUUUUAAUUUUUAUUUUUAAGAAUCGCACACCUGGCAUAUGGAAGUUUCCAGGAGGCUAGGGGUCAAAUCAAGCCACAGCCAUAUCAGAUAUGAGCCACAUCUGCAACCUACACUGCAGCUCGUCACAACAUGGGAUCCUUAACCCAGUGAAUGAGGUCAGGGAUCGAACCUGCAUCUUUGUGGAUACUAGUUGGGUUUGUAACCCACUGAGCUACAACAGGAACACCAAGACUUUCUAAAGCCUGACUGUAGAAUUUGGGAAAGAAAAAUUCUGGAGUAGAUUUGACACAUUCUCUCAAGGGAAUUUUUGGCGGCACUUAGAAUGGAUUGUUCCCUGAGAAUUUUUCCAGGGUUGUGAAGUUUCGUCGUCCAGUGAUUAAAAGGGAUACUUGAUGCAAAAUCUUCACAGCCAUUACAGUUUUUAUCUUAAUAUGUCCUAAUCUUAUUUAAUAUUAUGUGCUGCAGAGAAUUGUGCUAUAAUAACAAGGUCUACCCACAUCAGAAAGUUUGUGUGACUCUAAUUUAAAUGCCAUUAUAGCUAAGGUGGGACUGUACCUUUUUUUUUCAUUUUUAAACUUUUAUUGAGGGAGAGCUGAUUUAUAAUGUUGAUAAUUUCUGCUGUACGACACAGCGAUUCAGUUGUACAUGUGCACACAUCCAUUCUCUUUCAGAUUCUUUUUCCAUAGAGAUGAUCAUGGAAUAUUGGGUAGAGUUCCCUCUGCUCUAGAGCAGGUCCCCAUUGGCCAAUCAUGCCAUAUACCUCAGUGUGCACAUGCCAAUCCCAAACCCUUAGUCCAUCCCUCUCACCCUCCCUAUCCUUUGAUCAGUGUUCUUAAGCACAAAAAAUCAAAGCCUUGCUGUUUGCAGUGAACCUGGACUGAACCUUGAUGUAUAAGUAAAUCACGUCCAGAUUUGUGUUUUGGCUGCCAUCUUCAGUUGCUUUAUAGAAACAGGGUUUGUUUGUUUGUUUGUUUUAAUGGGGAGUAUUUUCAAGAGUGCCAAGCUGGUUUUGAAGAGAAAAGUGAUCCUGAUGGCAGAGGAGGACCCUCGAGUUUCCCCUCAUACCUGAGCCCAGGAAGCAAGAUAUUGGUUUGUUUUAUGUGUACACUCAUGUCAGCCUAAAACACGAUGCCGUGUAAUGGAGACUUAGAGAAGAUAUAAAAUAGUUUUACAAUUCUCUGAUUUAUUUGCUGUUGGACUAAACUCAAACAAUACAGA
rnacentral:lncRNA from 1 species